rnacentral:rRNA from 1 species
UACGAAGGGGGCUAGCGUUGUUCGGAAUUACUGGGCGUAAAGCGAACGUAGGCGGUGUUCCAUGUCAGAGGUGAAAGCCUGGGGCUCAACUCCAGAACUGCCUUUGAAACGGGAACGCUUGAGUCCGAGAGAGGGUGGCGGAAUUCCUAGUGUAGAGGUGAAAUUCGUAGAUAUUAGGAAGAACACCAGUGGCGAAGGCGGCCACCUGGCUCGGUACUGACGCUCAGGUUCGAAAGCGUGGGGAGCAAACAGG